rnacentral:tRNA from 1 species
GCCACCUUAGCUCAGGGGUAGAGCAACGCACUCGUAAUGCGUAGGCCCAGGGUUCAAAUCCCUGAGGUGGCU